CAAUCGGCCCUUUUCAGGGCCAACAAAUGUGUUAUUUGUGUAAUAU
rfam:Aedes aegypti strain Liverpool supercont1.264 genomic scaffold, whole genome shotgun sequence.